rnacentral:rRNA from 1 species
ACGGCAACACCAGCAGUGGACCCUGCGGCUUCAUUUGACUCAAAACUACCAAACCCGCCCGGCCCGGAAUUUGGAAGGAUAGAGAGAUUGCUAGCUCAUUCGUGAUUCAGUGGGUGGCGGUGCAUGGCAAUUCUUAGUUUGUGGAGUUAUUUCCCAGGUUAAAUCCGCCACCUAACGAGACUCAAGCUCACUAAAUUUAUCGUCCGCUUACAAACCUCGGUGAGACAUGCUAGAGGGACAGGCGGUGAAUUUUCCGCUCACAACAGAGCAAUAAUAGGUCUGAGAUGCCCUAAUAUGUCCGGGGCCGCAAGCACGCUACACUGAAUUGAUCUCCGUGCUUUUUCAAACUACUCUGUCAAGAGAGGGGAACCCAAUAAACCUUCUUCGUGAUUGGGAUAGGGGAUUGAAAUAAUUCCCUUUGAACGAGGAAUUUCCAGUAAGCGCGAGUCAUAAGCUCGCGUUAAUUACGUCCCUGCCCUAUGUACACACUCCCCGUUUAUUACUACCGAUUGAAUGUUU